AUGAGACCACGGACGAAUGGAUGGAGGGGAAACCCAGUCCAUGGAGGAAGUGGUGGACGAAAACUACCCUCUCGUGAGGUUCUGGGGUAG
rnacentral:rRNA from 1 species